rnacentral:rRNA from 1 species
CGGGGUGAGUAACGCGUGGGUAACCUGCCUCAUACAGGGGAUAACAGUUAGAAAUGGCUGCUAAUACCGCAUAAGACCACAGUACUGCAUGGUACAGUGGUAAAAACUCCGGUGGUAUGAGAUGGACCCGCGUCUGAUUAGGUAGUUGGUGAGGUAACGGCCCACCAAGCCGACGAUCAGUAGCCGACCUGAGAGGGUGACCGGCCACAUUGGGACUGAGACACGGCCCAG